rnacentral:rRNA from 1 species
AGUCGUAACAAGGUUUCCGUAGGUGAACCUGCGGAAGGAUCAUUCACAUGAAAGGAGUACGUCAGUACGACUGAUGACUGACAUCGUAAGAUGGAAGGAGUCGGUGAAAUCUCCGUAAGGAGAUGAGCCUAUGCGAACAUCCGACGUAAGGAGGAUGGAAGCAUUUGCGAAAUGCGAAGCAUUGAGCUGGCGACCGUCUAGGGAGCCUAUGUAUUGCGAGAUGAGUAUCAUCGAGCUUGUAAUGCGACCGUUUAGGGAGCUUUUGAGUACUAUGACGGAUGUCUCCUUCGGAGGUAUCUUGAGUAUACAGCUCAUUCACCUAGUGUCGGUCCUCCUUUCGGAGGUACUCUCCACGGUGAAUUCGCAUAAGCUCGAUACUCUGUAUCUCGCUGCUGCUCCAUACUUAGCAUGUCGCCAUAGGCUCCACCACCUUACGGUGGUAGUCGCUUGGCUCCCUCUGGUCACCAUUGUUCCUGAGCUUGGGUGAGAUGAUCCGCUGAAUUUAAGCAUAUAAUUAAGCGGCAGAAA